UGGGGAAUCUUCCGCAAUGGACGAAAGUCUGACGGAGCAACGCCGCGUGAGUGAAGACGGCCUUCGGGUUGUAAAGCUCUGUGAUCCGGGACGAAAGAGCCUGAGGUGAAUAGCCUAAGGAAGUGACGGUACCGGAAAAGCAAGCCACGGCUAACUACGUGCCAGCAGCCGCGGUAAUACGUAGGUGGCAAGCGUUGUCCGGAAUUAUUGGGCGUAAAGCGCGCGCAGGCGGCUUCCUAAGUCCAUCUUAAAAGUGCGGGGCUUAACCCCGUGAUGGGAUGGAAACUGGGAAGCUGGAGUAUCGGAGAGGAAAGUGGAAUUCCUAGUGUAGCGGUGAAAUGCGUAGAGAUUAGGAAGAACACCGGUGGCGAAGGCGACUUUCUGGACGAAAACUGACGCUGAGGCGCGAAAGCGUGGGGAGCAAACAGGA
rnacentral:rRNA from 1 species